rnacentral:rRNA from 1 species
GUCGAGGAUUUUUCUCAAUGGGGGAAACCCUGAAGGAGCGACGCCGCGUGGGGGAUGAAGGUCUUCGGAUUGUAAACCCCUGUCAUCUGGGAACAAUGUGCGCCACCUAACACGUGGCGCAUUGAUAGUACCGGAAGAGGAAGCCGUGGCUAACUCUGUGCCAGCAGCCGCGGUAAUACAGAGACGGCAAGCGUUGCUCGGAUUCAUUGGGCGUAAAGGGUGCGUAGGCGGUCGGUUAAGUCGGAUGUGAAAUCUCACAGCCUAACUGUGAGCGGUCAUUCGAAACUAACCGGCUCGAGGGCUGGAGAGGAGACUGGAAUGGUCGGUGUAGCGGUGAAAUGCGUAGAGAUCGACCAGAACACCUGUGGCGAAGGCGGGUCUCUGGACAGUUCCUGACGCUGAGGCACGAAAGCCAGGGGAGCAAACGGGAUUAGAAACCCCAGUAGUCC